GGACGAACGCUGGCGGCGUGCUUAACACAUGCAAGUCGAACGAUGAACCACUUCGGUGGGGAUUAGUGGCGAACGGGUGAGUAACACGUGGGCAAUCUGCCCUGCACUCUGGGACAAGCCCUGGAAACGGGGUCUAAUACCGGAUUCGACGCGCUCAGGCAUCUGAUGCGCGUGGAAAGCUCCGGCGGUGCAGGAUGAGCCCGCGGCCUAUCAGCUUGUUGGUGAGGUAACGGCUCACCAAGGCGACGACGGGUAGCCGGCCUGAGAGGGCGACCGGCCACACUGGGACUGAGACACGGCCCAGACUCCUACGGGAGGCAGCAGUGGGGAAUAUUGCACAAUGGGCGAAAGCCUGAUGCAGCGACGCCGCGUGAGGGGAUGACGGCCUUCGGGUUGUAAACCUCUUUCAGCAGGGAAGAAGCGAAAGUGACGGUACCUGCAGAAGAAGCGCCGGGCUAACUACGUGCCAGCAGCCGCGGUAAUACGUAAGGGCGGCGAGCGUUGGUCCGGAAUUAUGGGGCGUAAAAGCCUCGUAAGCCGCUUGUUCACGUCCGGGUGUGAAGGCCCGGGGCCUAAACCCCGGGUCUGCAGUCGAAUACGGCAGGCUAAGUUCCGUUAGGGGAGAAUCGAAUUCCUGGUGUACGGUGAAAUGGCCGGAUAUAAAGAGAACCCGGGUGCGAAGGCGGAUCCGGG
rnacentral:rRNA from 1 species